rnacentral:rRNA from 1 species
AGAGUUUGAUCCUGGCUCAGAUUGAACGCUGGCGGCAGGCCUAACACAUGCAAGUCGAGCGGUAACAGAUCCAGCUUGCUGGAUGCUGACGAGCGGCGGACGGGUGAGUAAUGCAUAGGAAUCUGCCCGAUAGUGGGGGAUAACCUGGGGAAACCCAGGCUAAUACCGCAUACGUCCUACGGGAGAAAGGGGGCUCCGGCUCCCGCUAUGGGAUGAGCCUAUGUCGGAUUAACUAGUUGGUGAGGUAACUGCUCACCAAGGCCACGAUCCGUAGCUGGUCUGAGAAGAUGAUCAGCCACAUCGGGACUGAAACACGGCCCGAACUCCUACGGGAGGCAGCAGUGGGGAAUAUUGGACAAUGGGGGCAACCCUGGAUCCAGCCAUGCCGCGUGUGUGAAGAAGGCCCUCGGGUUGUAAAGCACUUUCAGCGAGGAAGAACGCCUAGCGGUUAAUACCCGCUAGGAAAGACAUCACUCGCAGAAGAAGCACCGGCUAACUCCGUGCCAGCAGCCGCGGUAAUACGGAGGGUGCAAGCGUUAAUCGGAAUUACUGGGCGUAAAGCGCGCGUAAGUGGCUUGAUAAGCCGGUUGUGAAAGCCCCGGGCUCAACCUGGGAACGGCAUCCGGAACUGUCAAGCUAGAGUGCAAGAGAGGAAGGUAGAAUUCCCGGUGUACCGGUGAAAUGCGUAGAGAUCGGGAGGAAUACCAGUGGCGAAGGCGGCUUCUGGACUGACACUGACACUGAGGUGCGAAAGCGUGGGUAGCAACA